rnacentral:rRNA from 1 species
GACGAACGCUGGCGGCGUGCUUAACACAUGCAAGUCGAGCGGUAAGGCUCCUUCGGGAGUACACGAGCGGCGAACGGGUGAGUAACACGUGAGCAAUCUGCCCAUCUCUUUGGAAUAAGCGUUGGAAACGACGUCUAAUGCCGAAUACGACCUCCUUUCGCAUGAUCGGAGGUGGAAAGCUCCGGCGGAGAUGGAUGAGCUCGCGGCCUAUCAGCUAGUUGGUGAGGUAACGGCCACCAAGGCGACGACGGGUAGCCGGCCUGAGAGGUGACCGGCCACACUGGGACUGAGACACGGCCCAGACUCC